GCACACCGCCAAGAGAGGUACAAACGCCAGCCUGAAACUCAAAGACUGACAGUAUCUCACCAUACACCUAGAGGAGCCUGUCCUAUAAUCGAUACCCACGAUAACUUAACUGCUCUGAACUGAUCAGCCUAUAUACCUCCGUCGCCAGUCCGCCUGCCAACAGAUGCCAAAGCGCAUACAACAGCCCUAUCACUCACACGACAGGUCAAGGUGUAGCUAAUGAGCCUAGGGAGAGAUGGGCUACAUUUUCUCUGUUAGAAAAUACCCAAAAUGCAAUGAAAAUGGCUCGUAAGGCGGAUUUAGCAGUAAGCAGGG
rnacentral:rRNA from 1 species